rnacentral:rRNA from 1 species
UACGUAGGGGGCAAGCGUUGUCCGGAUUCAUUGGGCGUAAAGAGCGUGUAGGCGGCCAGGUAGGUCGGUUGUGAAAACUGGAGGCUCAACCUUCAGAGGUCGACCGAAACCAUCUGGCUAGAGUCCGGGAGAGGAGAGUGGAAUUCCUGGUGUAGCGGUGAAAUGCGUAGAUAUCUGGAGGAACACCGGUGGCGAAGGCGGCAUCCUGGACCGGCAUUGACGCUGAGGCGCGAAAAGCUAGGGGAGCAAACGGGG